GGCGAUCAGAUACCGCCCUAGUUCUGACCGUAAACGAUGCCAACUAGCGAUCCGCCAGUCGACUCAUCGCUCUGGUGGGGAGCUUCCCGGAAACGAAAGUCUUCCGGUUCCGGGGGAAGUAUGGUUGCAAAGCUGAAACUUAAAGGAAUUGACGGAAGGGCACCACCAGGAGUGGAGCCUGCGGCUUAAUUUGACUCAACACGGGGAAACUCGCCCGGCCCGGACACCGUAAGGAUUGACAGAUUGAUAGCUUUUUCAUGAUUCGGUGGAUGGUGGUGCAUGGCCGUUCUUAGUUCGUGGAGCGAUUUGUCUGGUUUAUUCCGAUAACGAGCGAGACUCUGGCCUACUAAAUAGUUGACGCAUUGCCACUGUGCGCACAACUUCUUAGAGGGAUUUUCGGUGUUUUCAACCGCACGAAAUUGAGCAAUAACAGGUCUGUGAUGCCCUUAGAUGUCCGGGGCUGCACGCGCGCUACACUGGCAAACGCAACGUGCCUGUCCUGCCCCGAAAGGAGCGGGUAAACCCCUGAAAUUUUGCCGUGAUUGGGAUCGGGCAUUGCAGCUAUUGUCCGUGAACGAGGAAUUCCUUGUAGGGGCGAGUCAUCAACUCGUCCCGAAUACGUCCCUGCCCUUUGUA
rnacentral:rRNA from 1 species